rnacentral:lncRNA from 1 species
GCUAGUGUUUAUUGUGCUUUUUACUCAAGGACAUGAUGACCUUGGCUUCUAUCCAAAAACAUCUGUAGUUCUAGAAAGAAAGGAACGGACUUGGCAGUUAUAACCUAGUCAGAGUAGUCUAAUUCUCCAUACCACCAGAGAUGGAAACUGAGAAGCAAUUCAUGAAAUUUCCUGGAAAAUGAUUACUUCCAAAUUACUUCCAAGGAG